rnacentral:rRNA from 1 species
GUCGUCAGCUCGUGUCGUGAGAUGUUGGGUUAAGUCCCGCAACGAGCGCAACCCUUGUCAUUAGUUGCUACGAAAGGGCACUCUAAUGAGACUGCCGGUGACAAACCGGAGGAAGGUGGGGAUGACGUCAAGUCCUCAUGGCCCUUAUGGGUAGGGCUUCACACGUCAUACAAUGAUCGGGACAGAGGGUCGCCAACCCGCGAGGGGGAGCCAAUCCCAGAAACCCGAUCGUAGUCCGGAUCGCAGUCUGCAACUCGACUGCGUGAAGUCGGAAUCGCUAGUAAUCGCGGAUCAGCAUGUCGCGGUGAAUACGUUCCCGGG